rnacentral:rRNA from 1 species
UACGGAGGGGGCUAGCGUUGUUCGGAAUUACUGGGCGUAAAGCGCGCGUAGGCGGCUUUGUAAGUUAGAGGUGAAAGCCCGGAGCUCAACUUCGGAAUUGCCUUUAAGACUGCAUCGCUAGAAUCGUGGAGAGGUGAGUGGAAUUCCGAGUGUAGAGGUGAAAUUCGUAGAUAUUCGGAAGAACACCAGUGGCGAAGGCGACUCACUGGACACGUAUUGACGCUGAGGUGCGAAAGCGUGGGGAGCAAACAGG